GGGCUAUUAGCUCAGUCGGUUAGAGCGCACCCCUGAUAAGGGUGAGGUCCCUGGUUCAAAUCCAGGAUAGCCUA
rnacentral:tRNA from 1 species